AAAAUGUGUGUAUGACUAAGAGCAUCAUCAGCACUCUAGGGGUGGUUGAAUAUUUGCUGCUCUAUUAUGUCCUCCCCUCCACUGUGUGGGUGAUGCCCCGUUUGGGCCAGCAUUUGAAGGACAGAAUAGGCUCUGGUCUUGCUGCUAUACCUUGGAGCUCACUCACCACCCAGGGAUGCAUGGCGAAACUGUUUGGACAACAGCCCCAUUUGAUGUUAUUCCAGUUGCUUUUGUCUCAGUUUAUGAGUGCGUGCCUUGAGACUCUGGAAUCUGAUUUACAAAAGCACUGCAUAUUCACGGUUGCCAAGAGGAGUUGUGCUUUGAAAAUACAAAAUGCUGCACCAUGCUCAAGAAUGCUAAACUGCUGGGAGCUGUGAGUUAGGCACACAAAACUUCAUGGUUUUCACCUUAACCCAUCUGCCUCUGGGCUUCCCAUCAAG
rnacentral:lncRNA from 1 species